CCUACGGGAGGCAGCAGUGGGGAAUUUUCCGCAAUGGGCGCAAGCCUGACGGAGCAACGCCGCGUGAGGGAUGAAGGCCUCUGGGCUGUAAACCUCUUUUCUCAAGGAAGAAGACCUGACGGUACUUGAGGAAUAAGCCACGGCUAAUUCCGUGCCAGCAGCCGCGGUAAUACGGGAGUGGCAAGCGUUAUCCGGAAUUAUUGGGCGUAAAGCGUCCGCAGGCGGCCUAUUAAGUCUGUCGUUAAAGCGUGGAGCUCAACUCCAUUUAAGCGAUGGAAACUGGAAGGCUAGAGUGUGGUAGGGGCAGAGGGAAUUCCCGGUGUAGCGGUGAAAUGCGUAGAUAUCGGGAAGAACACCAGUGGCGAAGGCGCUCUGCUGGGCCAUAACUGACGCUCAUGGACGAAAGCCAGGGGAGCGAAAGGGAUUAGAUACCCCUGUAGUCCUGGCCGUAAACGAUGAACACUAGGUGUCGGGGGAAUCGACCCCCUCGGUGUCGUAGCUAACGCGUUAAGUGUUCCGCCUGGGGAGUACGCACGCAAGUGUGAAACGUCAAAGGAAUUGACGG
rnacentral:rRNA from 1 species